CUCAGGAUGAACGCUAGCUACAGGCUUAACACAUGCAAGUCGAGGGGAAACGAUAUUGGAAGCUUGCUUCCGAUAGGCGUCGACCGGCGCACGGGUGAGUAACGCGUAUCCAACCUGCCCAUCACUUGGGGAUAACCUUGCGAAAGUAAGACUAAUACCCAAUGACGUCUCUAGAAGACAUCUGAAAGAGAUUAAAGAUUUAUCGGUGAUGGAUGGGGAUGCGUCUGAUUAGCUUGUUGGCGGGGUAACGGCCCACCAAGGCGACGAUCAGUAGGGGUUCUGAGAGGAAGGUCCCCCACAUUGGAACUGAGACACGGUCCAAACUCCUACGGGAGGCAGCAGUGAGGAAUAUUGGUCAAUGGACGAGAGUCUGAACCAGCCAAGUAGCGUGCAGGAAGACGGCCCUAUGGGUUGUAAACUGCUUUUAUAAGGGAAUAAAGUGAGUCUCGUGAGACUUUUUGCAUGUACCUUAUGAAUAAGGACCGGCUAAUUCCGUG
rnacentral:rRNA from 1 species